AAAACUAGCCCAACUAUACCUAAAUCUAACAAACUCACUAAACCUUAAACCAAACCAUUUACCAUUAAGCAACAGUAUAGGAGAUAGAAAUUCCACUUGGCGCUAUAGAUAAAGUACCGUAAGGGAAAGAUGAAAGAACAGUUAAAAGUAAAUAAAAGCAAAGCUUACCACUUGUACCUUUUGCAUAAUGACUUAACUAGAACAACUUGACAAAAAGAAUUUUAGUCAACAACCCCGAAACCAGACGAGCUAUUCACAAACAGUUAUAUAAGAACACACUCAUCUAUGUAGCAAAAUAGUGAGAAGAUUUGUGAUUAGAGGUGAAAAGCCUAUCGAGCCUGGUGAUAGCUGGUUGUCCGGGAAAGAAUUUUAGUUCAACUUUAAAUUUACCCAACGUAUUUAAAACCUAAUGUAAUUUUAAAUUUUAAUCUAAAGAGGGACAGCUCUUUAGAACAGGCUACAACCUUUAGUAGAGAGUAAAAAAAACUUAACCCCAUAGUUGGCCCAAAAGCAGCCAUCAAUUAAGAAAGCGUUCAAGCUCAACAUACCAAACCAAAUCAAUACCAAACUCUCAUAAUAAUCUCCUACCAGCUAACCGGACUAAUCUAUUAUUAAAUAGAAGGACUACUGUUAAUAUAAAUAACAAGAAUUAUUAUUCUCCUCGCAUAAACCUAUAUCAGAUCGGAUGCCCACUGAUAAUUAACCAAAAACUAAAAAUCAGCCAUAACCUAAAUAAUAUUUACCUAAACAACUGUUAACCCAACACAGGUAUGCACUAAGGAAAGAUUAAAAAGAGCAAAAGGAACUCGGCAAA
rnacentral:rRNA from 1 species